ACAUAUAUUCCCAAUCCUUGACCUAUCAUCAUCGGCCUGUGAGUACAUAGGAAACAUAAAUAGAAUCUCUCACCAUAAAUUCCCAAAUUUAAAUCAUGGGCAUGCCUACGUUCUUUAUCUACAGAGAUAAUAUCAAGAUCGAGAACAAAUUGACUUCUAUAUUUCAUAGCAACAAAACUACAAAAGCCAAAAGAAGAUGCAGAAGAAUCUAGAGUUUGACUACGAAGCUCCUAGUUAAAGAUUCCUUCUUACCUCG
rnacentral:lncRNA from 1 species